rnacentral:rRNA from 1 species
UCGCGCUAUGAGAUGACCCUGCGUUAGAUUAGCUAGUUGGUGGGGUAAAGGCCUACCAAGGCGACGAUCUAUAGCUGGUCUGAGAGGACGAUCAGCCACACUGGGACUGAGACACGGCCCARAYUCCUACGGGAGGCAGCAGUGGGGAAUAUUGGACAAUGGGCGAAAGCCUGAUCCAGCAAUACCGCGUGUGUGAARAASGCCUUCGGGUUGUAAAGCACUUUCAAUUGGGAGGAAUACCUAUCGGUYAAUACCCGGUAGMUWGACAUUACCUUUASAAGAAGCACCGGCUAACUCC